rnacentral:lncRNA from 1 species
GUAAACACCUAAUUUUUGACCAAACUGAAUGUUUUACGUUAUUUAGUAUCUUAUUUUACAAGAUUGCUUUUAAAGUUUGGAAAACUACAAAAUAAAGUCAUAUUAAAAUAAAUUUUUAUUUAUUUUUAUUACUUAUUUAUUUAUUAAAAAAAAAAAAAAAAAAAAAAAAAAAAAAAAAAAAGAAGAAGAAGAAGUCAAAUCCUAAAUCUACCCAAACCACCCACAAUCCCCCACUCCUAAUCAACCUCCCCCACUAUCCCUCCCAC